GGCGCAGCCUGGUAGCGCACACGCAUGGGGUGCGUGGGGUCGCAGGUUCAAAUCCUGUCA
rnacentral:tRNA from 1 species